rnacentral:lncRNA from 1 species
GGAAACGCUGUCAAGAUGUCAAAAAUACGCGGAAAGGGAAAAAAGGAAUUGCUACGGAAAGCGAGGUGGGAGAGGAACCCAGUCAAUUUCACCUGCUCCCCUUCCUCCAGGAAGAAUCGGAACCGAAAGCUUAAUAAGUGUGGUUGUUUUGAUAUUCGAAUCAUGAGACCCAAGGCAUCGUAGGGGACCUCGCCUGCAUGCAUUCGCCUAUCCAUCCUACAGCACCGACUGCACCCCUGAUUGUGAUGACGAAUGCACCCCCAUCCUUGGGCUCCGUGCCCACUGCUGGGCUGGGCUGCUCCCUCAGGUGCGGCAGCCAGAGGAGGUGUGGACUCCCAUCCCACGCGUUUAUCCUCCUGCAGCCUCUCGAGCUUGGUGGCAUAGCCGUCCUUCCAGUCCCCAAGCCAGAUGUCCUUGAUGCCCCUUCUCCCAGCCCCAUCCCCAUCGCCAGUUGUAUCAGUUUUCUAUUGCUACUGUAACAAAUCACUACAAAUUGAGUGGCUUAAAACAACACACAUCUACUCUCUUACAGUUCUAUAGGUCAGAAAUCUGACAUGGUCUCAGAGGGCUAAAUUCAAGGUGUCUGCAGGACAGUGUUCCUGCUGGAGGCUCUUGAGGGAGAAUCGGUUUCCUUGCCUUUUCCAAGUAUAGAGGCCGCCCACAUUGGCCCCCUUCCGUCUUCAAAGCCAGCAAUAGCUCCGAGUCUUUCCUCCCUAGCAUCGCUGUGACGCUGACUCUCCUGCCUCCCUCUUCCACAUUUAAGAACCUUGUGAUUACAUUGGUCCUCCCAGAUAAUCCAGAAUAAUCUCCCCAUCGCAAAAUCAGCUGAUUAGCAACCUCAAUUCCACCUGCAACCUUAAUUCUCCCCUGUCAUGAAAUAUAAGAAGGAGAUCCAUAUGUUCCGGGGAUUGGGAUGCAGACAUUUUGGAGGCAUUGUUCUGCUGACCACGCCAUCCUGACAGUUUU